CUCUUUCUGGUGUUUUGUGGUGAGCCCAGCAUAAGGGAGUGAAUGUUUGACAGCAUGGAUCAAGCAAUGAGUUCUCUGGUCCUAAGAUAAACAAAUGAAUCUGGAAAGAUCUGGAAGUAAAUCCGGGUUCCACGAUACAUCAGUACAAAACUGGAAGAGCCUUGGAAAAUGGAGAUUUAAAGGAGCAAGGGAACUGGGUACGAAAGAGCAUGAAAUAGCAUCAGAGGAAAAGGUAUUUGCCUCAGAGAAAUGAAAGGAAGAUUGGGAUAAGGGUGGUAAGUUCUCUGCACUUUCCUUCAAUCUGCUAGUGCAAAGCUGGGAGAUGGGACAACAAAUGAUAUUUGAUC